CAGUAACCAAGACAGUGCAGUAAUGGCAUAAUCAUUGGCUUAGAUUUAAGACUCAAACAUCUAUGGUCAACUGAUUUUCAUCAAGAGUUCCAAGAUCUUUCAAUAGGAAAAGGAUUUAAUAGUCUCUUAAACAAAUGGCACAGGGACAACUGGAUAGCCACAAGCAAAGAAUCAAUUUUUACCUUUUUCUCACACUAUAUAAAAAAAUUAUCUCAAAAUGGAUCAAAGCUCUAAAUGUAAAUGCUAAAACUAUAAACUCUUAGAAGAAAACAUAAGGGUAAAUCUUCAUGACCCUGGGUUUGGCAUAAUGUCUUAAGAUAUGAUCCCUAAAGUGCAAGUAACAAAAGAAAAAAAUCGAUAAUAGGACUUCAUCAAAAUUUAAAACUUUUAUGCUUUAAAGAACACUAUUAAGAAAGUGAAAACAAGGCCGGCCAUAAUGGCUCAGGCAUGUAAUCCUAGCACUCUGGGAGGCCAAGGCAGGUGGAUUGCUUGAGCCCAGCCUAGGCAACAUAGCAAGACCCUGUCUCAUUAAAAAAUAAAAAUAAAAUGUAAAAAUAAAAAGCAAAAACAACCUUCGGAUGGAGAAAAUAUUUGCAAAGCACAUAUCUGAUAAGGGACUUGUACCCAGAAUAUAUAGAAACUUACAAAUCAGUAGAGGAAGGGAGGGAGGGAGAGAGAGAGGGAGGGAGGGAGGAAGGAAGAAGAGAGAAAAGAACCCAAUUAAAAACUGGACAAAGGAUUUCAAUGGAUAUUUCUCCAAAGAAGAUAUACAAAUGGUAAAUAAGCACAUGAAAAUAUGCUCAACAUCAUCAGUCAUCAGGGAGAGAUAGCACUUCGCACCCACUAGAAUGGCCAUAAUCAAAAGGACAAGUAAUAACAAAUGUUGACAGGGAUGUAGAAAAAUCAGAACCCUCUUAUGAUAAUGGUGGGGAUGUAAAAUGGUGCAGAUACUCUGGAAAACAGUCUGGCAGUUCUUCAAAAGGUUAAAUAUAGAAUUACUAUUUGACCCAACAGUUCCACUCCUAGAUACAUAUCCAAGAGAAAUGAAAACACAUGUCUACACAAAACCUUACACACAAAAAUUCACAGCAGCAUUAUUCAUUACGGCUAAAAGGUGGAAACAAUCCAAAUGUCUAUGAACUGAUGAAUGGAUAAGCAAAAUGUGGUAUAGUCAUACGCUGCAAUAUUAUUUGUCCAUAAAAAGAAUGAGGUACUGAUACAUGCUACAACAUGAGUGAACCUUAAAAACAUUAUACUGAAAUGUUUAAAGUGAAAGAAACCACCCAUAAAAGACCACAUAUUACAUGAUUCCACUUAUGACAUGUCCAGAAUAGGCCAAUCUAUAGAUACAGAAAGUAGCUUGGUGGUUGCUUAAAGCAGGGGGAAUAGGAGAGUUGGGGGUGAUAGCUGAUGGAUAUGGGAUUUCUUUUUGAGGUCAUGAAAAUGUUCUACAAGUUGACUGCGGUGAUGGUUGUAUACUUCAAAUGGAUGAAUUAUAUGAUAUGUUAAUUAUAUCUUAAGAAAGCUGUUACUCCCUGCAUAAAAAGAAAUCACAAUAAAUGUAAAUAGACUAAAUUAUUCAGUUAAAACACAAAAGUGAUGAGCCUCUAACAUGGCUCAGCAUGACACAGACAGGGCUGGGCUGGGGAAAGUUACUAAGACUCUCUUUGGUAUCUGCCCAGCUUUCUCACCACUCCAGCUCUCAAUCUCAGAAACAGUGGGCCAGGAGCACUGUCAUUUCUCUACUCUUAUACUCACUCCUUCUGGAGACCUGAAAAUGAAGACAUUCAGACUAAACUGGAAUGAGUCCAUCUCCAAGGGGUCACUUCUGCCUAACAAAUAAGUGGCCCCCAAAGAGUUCAGGUCUCUAAAGGGGCCCACUGAAGGAAUGACUGGUAACAAGAACUACUGGGAAAUGGGCCACUCCUCAAGCAAAUCCAGCUACUGAAUUGGGUACAAUCAGCACAAGGGAACUGGAGGUAGAAAUGAUACAGAUAGUUUUCAUCACUUUCUGGUGGUGGGCCAUGGAACUAUACAGUCAGGCACAGUACUUAGAGUUUGCUUGGAUGUUAAGAGCACAGACUCUGGAGUUUGAAUCUGGGCUCACAGUUUACUAGCUGAAUAACCUUUGGAAGUUAGGUCCCACUAUGCCUCAGUUUCCUCACCCAAAAAAUGGAGAAAUAAGUUUCACGUAAGACUUGAAACUGUGCCUGGCACAUGAAAAGAGUUCUAGAAAUACUGAUCGUUAUUAUUUGUUAUUAUUACAGUUUCAUAACACUAAGCUCAUUUGACCUUAUCAUAACCCAUGAGAGGAAUGGCGAUUGCUAAUCUCCUUUACGGAUGAGAAAACUGAGGUGCAGAGAGAAUGAGUGACUAGCCCAAGGCUCCACAGGUGGCUGCAGAGGGCCAGCAUUGGAGGACAUGACUCCUGUUUCGGCCAUCCUGCUGCUCUACCACACCCUAAAUAGCAUCUAGUGACCCAAAUUAUGAUUUCUACUCUGCCAAUCACCAGCUGCCUGACCUUAGGCAAGUCGCUUAGGUAACCACCCAACUCUUUCCAUCUGUAAAAUGAGAGGUGAGCUAUGUAGGUGAACACUAAGAGCCCUUGUUUAGCUAACAUUCUGUGAUUGCAAGGGGAGCGCAAGUGAACUGGAUGUGAUGGGCCACAGAACAAUGAGCAACCUGGAGAGCGGGAAGAGAGGGUUUUUCUAGAACCAUGUGUUCGAAAUUGGGAGUCCUCAGAGGGGCUGCAGGAAGGUGAGAGUCCCCACAAGUACCAUAUUUGAGGGUUGGGGUAGUGCCACCUGGAGAGUAAAGGGAAAGAACUUUUUCCUUUAUUUCUUUUACUCUCCAGGUCCUGUGUGCGCUUGGUGAGAAGGCAGCAAGUGAGUCAGUUGUGACUCUCUGCUCCGUGCCCCAGGGCCCUGGGUGUGGUGAAGGAAGCUGUCUGAGCAGUGGGCAGGAGGGGCUGAGCUCAGGGUGAGGGCUGGCGGCAGGGGCGGGUGAAUGGAAAAUACCCAUCUGAACUGCCACACAUCCUGACUGGAUACAGGCUUUAACACGGUCCGUCUCAAAGAAACCUGUGCCCAUGGAACAAACUCUGGGUGAGCGUGCAAGAAAAACGGAAGUGAGAUUCCAACAGGAGGGCACCACUGUCCCUGUCUGACCUUAAACCAGGAGAUUUUGUACAGAUGUAUUCCUUCAAGAAAACCAGCUUGUUGGCAGUAAUAGAGAAGAAAUGAGCUUCUCCCAACAACAGCCAACAACAGCCAAUGACAACAGCAAAAUAGGAAAAAGGGUUGCCCUCUGAAAGGUAAAUAAACUCUAUACACAAUAAAUGACCAUCUGUGGAAGUAAAACCGAGAGACAGGCUUUACCACCUCCCAGAACUCCAAUCCAGAUGACCACGGAUAAAUCUCUAGCACGCGGAAUAGAGAUGUCACGGCUGUUAGGUGCAGCCCAGAGCAGCAGGAGCUGUGCCCUGGCCCCUGUCCUGAGGAGCUCCCACUGGUCAGCCCCGCCUACUCCAGCUGGACCUUGAUGCUUCACACAAGGUGUGCGCAGAGGACACAGGCACUUCAUGGAGCAACAUACUUUUGUAAAAAAAAUGAAUUCCCUUGUAACAAAUAGAGCACGGAGGCUUUUAUAGAUUAAGUAAUUUGUAGUCUUCUUAUAAUUAUGGCUUCUAAAUUACCUAAAAUAAUUCAUUCAAGGCUUGAUUUUAGUUUUGUCUUGAGAGUGUCAACUCUUUAACUUGAGAUGCUGUAGGAUGGGGUUUCAUCUUGGGAUUCUUUUCUUGGAUAUGUCAUUUAAAUUCUGAUACUUAUAUUCCCUAUUUGAAAACACAUGAUCAAUGACAAUACCAAUACCUGAUUUGUGUGCAAUACUUAUAAUUUACAACGUACAUUAUUUUAACAUACAUUCUUUUCAUGCGACCCUCUCAACAACCCUUUGACAAGGCAAGUCAGAGACUAAUUACUAGAGAUUAUUCAAGCGACUUGCUCCAAGUCAUACAGUAGGCAGGCAGCCAAGAUGACUCUAGUUUUUCCAACUCCUAGUCCCACACUCUUUCCUCUCCCCUUACAUGUUCUGAUAUAAAUCAAACUUAGGUUUGAAAAUAUCUUAUUGAUGUAUUUCAACACCCCAGAAUUUGAUGAGACUGGAAUCGAUUUGUUGUGAUCUGUGAUUGCUGAAUUCCUCGUAUGUGGUGGAUACCAAGGUAAGUUGACUAGAAUGUGAGCUUGCCUACCCAGACACCAGUUCCCAUGUCCUUUGUCCGGUGGUAUAAUUUGAAGUUCACUCUUUUUGGUGUACAGUUUUAUGAGUUGAGUUGUGAAAAACAUAUACAGUUGUGUAUCCACCACUACAGUCAAGAUAUAGAACAGUUCCAUUACCUCAAAAAUUUUUUUCAGGCCGGGCGCAGUGGCUCACGCCUGUAAUCCCAGCACUUUAGGAGGCCAAAGCGGGCGGAUCACGAGGUCAGGAGAUCGAGACCAUCCUGGCUAACGCUGUGAAACCAUGUCUCUACUAAAAAUACAAAAAAAUUAGCCAGGCGUGGUGGCAGGUGCCUGUGGUCCCAGCUACUUGGGAGGCUGAGGCAAGAGAACCGCUUGACCCUGGGAGGCAGAGGUUGCGGUGAGCCAAGAUCGCGCCACUGCACUCCAACCUGGGCGACAGAGCGAGAGUCCAUCUCAAAAAGAAAACAUCAUACUCUUUUGUAGUCAACCCUAGCUAGGCCCCUAUAGUUUUGCCUUUCCCAAAGUAUCUUAUGCAUGGAAUCAUCCAGGAGAUAACCUCCUGAAUCAGGCUUCUGUCUCUUAGCAUAAUGCAUUUGGGAUUUACCAUGUUAUUUCAUUUAUCAGGUUUUUGUCCCUUUUCAUUGCUGAGUAGUAUUUCAUUAUAGGAAUGUACUCUCGUUUGUGGAUCAUUCUGAUCAACUCAGCACAUGUGGAUUAUUUCCAGUCUUGGCAAUGAUGAAUAAAGUCACUCUAAGCAUUCACGUACAGGUUUUUGCAUGAAUAAAAU
rnacentral:lncRNA from 10 species